AUCCAGGGAGGUGAUGGCUGAAAACUGGCAGGGAUGGAUUUGGAAAAGCAGUCUGAGGCAAAAACUGUCUUUGUGCAAGCAAGUUUUGACCAUGUGAGGAGGCUGAGUGUGACACAAAGCCGAAACUGAGACCUGUUUGCCAUCAGAUUGAUCAGAAUCCACAUGAAUCACCAAAAACACUGCUUCUGGAGAAGGUGCUGGCACUGCCAAGAAAUGCUUCUGCCAUGAGAUGGCACUUGUCCAUGCCAGGCUCCUGCUUGGAGAGGACUGGCAGCCUCAGCAGCACCUCAGGCAGGAUCUCCAAGCGUUGCUGUCCAUGAGCUCCCACGCCGGGGAAAGGCGAGGGGAGGCAGGAGCUGGUGCCCUGGCUUCGCU